rnacentral:misc_RNA from 1 species
AAGUCGUAACAAGGUUUCCGUAGGUGAACCUGCGGAAGGAUCAUUACAGAGUUCAUGCCCGAGAGGGUAGACGCUCCCACCCUUUGCGUACCAUUACCUCGUUGCUUUGGCGAGCUCCCCCCCUCGGGCGGGGGCUCCGCACGCUCGCCAGAGGAUCACCAAACUCUUUUAUACACGUCGUCUGAGCACUAUACAAUAGUUAAAACUUUCAACAACGGAUCUCUUGGUUCUG